GAUGAACGCUAGCGGCAGGCUUAAUACAUGCAAGUCGAGGGGCAGCAUGACUGUAGCAAUACAGUUGAUGGCGACCGGCAAACGGGUGCGGACCACGUACAGAACCUUCCUUCGAGCGGGGAAUAGCCCAGAGAAAUUUGGAUUAAUACUCCAUAGUAUAUUAGAGUGGCAUCACUUUGAUAUUAAAGAUUUAUCACUUGAAGAUGGCUGUGCGGCUGAUUAGGUAGUUGGCGGGGUAACGGCCCACCAAGCCUUCGAUCAGUAACUGGUGUGAGAGCACGACCAGUCACACGGGCACUGAGACACGGGCCCGACUCCUACGGGAGGCAGCAGUAAGGAAUAUUGGUCAAUGGACGAAAGUCUGAACCAGCCAUGCCGCGUGGAGGAUGAAGGUCCUCUGGAUUGUAAACUUCUUUUAUAUGGGACGAAAAAAGGGUUUUCUAACUCGUCUGACGGUACCAUAUGAAUAAGCACCGGCUAACUCCGUGCCAGCAG
rnacentral:rRNA from 1 species